CCUACGGUGCGCAGCAGUCGAGAAUCAUUCACAAUGGGGGAAACCCUGAUGGUGCGACGCCGCGUGGGGGAAUGAAGGUCUUCGGAUUGUAAACCCCUGUCAUGUGGGAGCAAAUUAAAAAGAUAGUACCACAAGAGGAAGAGACGGCUAACUCUGUGCCAGCAGCCGCGGUAAUACAGAGGUCUCAAGCGUUGUUCGGAAUCACUGGGCGUAAAGCGUGCGUAGGCUGUUUCGUAAGUCGUGUGUGAAAGGCGCGGGCUCAACCCGCGGACGGCACAUGAUACUGCGAGACUAGAGUAAUGGAGGGGGAACCGGAAUUCUCGGUGUAGCAGUGAAAUGCGUAGAUAUCGAGAGGAACACUCGUGGCGAAGGCGGGUUCCUGGACAUUAACUGAUGCUGAGGCACGAAGGCCAGGGGAGCGAAAGGGAUUAGAUACCCUAGUAGUC
rnacentral:rRNA from 1 species